rnacentral:lncRNA from 10 species
GGAAGUUUAAAGGAAUGCUUCAAAAAUGAAAAUAAGGCAUUUAAAUGGACAGUGGAAAUCAAGGGAAAUUGCAAAGCUACAACAUGAAAAGAGCUAAUUAAGAGGAAGUCAGAGCAGCCCAGAUCCUGUGAUGAGCAAGCCAGCAGACAACAUGGCCGCACUCAGAGGGGAGGAAAGCGGGGUCAGUGAAGCCCAGGGCUGCAGGAGAGGUCCUUUGGCCGUCCUCGGCGAUGAUGCUGCCUAUUGAAAUGGAUGUGGAAGCAGCUCUCAAGGUCAGGGCUGUGAGCUGGAAGCCUUCUCCACGUUGGUAACGACAUUAGGAGGCGGGGCCUUUGGGCAGUGAUGAGGUCGUGGGAAGAGGAUCCUCGUGAUGGAUGAGUGCCCUUAUGGAAGAGGCUUCAGGGAGCCUGUUGGCCCCUUCCGCCAAGUGAGGACACAUGUAAGGCACCAUCUGUGAGGAACAGGCCCUCACCAGACACCCAAUCUGCUGGCGGCCUGAUCUUGAUCUUGGACUUCCCAGCCUUCAGAACUGUGAGCAGGAAGUCUCUGUUCUUUAUAAAUUACCCACUCUAAGGUAUUUUUGUAAUGCAGCCCCAGUGGACUAAGACAGUCUUAUCACUGCUGAGUGUGCAGUGCCUCUUCCUGCUCUGGGCACAUAGUAGGUGCUCAUUAAAUGUUUGCUGAAUAAUGGAUGUGUGGGAAAAUUGAAGUAAUGAAAAGUCAGAGACCCUUUGGACGUUGUGUGGAGUUGGCUCUGUGUCUUCUGAGAUGUCAUUUUAAUCCUUUAUCACAGUGAGAUGGUUGUUGGAAUGCCCUGCAAAGCUCCACCGAUUCCAAAGGGAAUGAUCAGGAUGAUCAGCUCCUGGACUAAUGUCCAGGUACUGCUGCUGCUGUGGGGUUCUGGGAGACCUAAACAGGAGCAGCUUCCCUGCAAGAUUUUAUCUAAUAUUUGAAGACAGGGUGUGUCCAUGGGGUGCUUCAUCUGAAGAGGAGGAGUGUGAAGCCUCUCCCAGUGCACUUACUGAAUGGGAAAGACACCAGGAGAUUAAACAGCCACAUUCUCAUCCAUCAGGGCACAGUCUGGGUUCAGUAAAUGCUUUUCCCCCUUUCUUAGCUGUUUCCAUGAACCAGAACCAGC